AGUGAACGCUGGCGGUAGGCCUAACACAUGCAAGUCGAACGGCAGCACAGUAAGAGCUUGCUCUUACGGGUGGCGAGUGGCGGACGGGUGAGGAAUACAUCGGAAUCUACUUUUUCGUGGGGGAUAACGUAGGGAAACUUACGCUAAUACCGCAUACGACCUACGGGUGAAAGCAGGGGAUCUUCGGACCUUGCGCGAUUGAAUGAGCCGAUGUCGGAUUAGCUAGUUGGCGGGGUAAUGGCCCACCAAGGCGACGAUCCGUAGCUGGUCUGAGAGGAUGAUCAGCCACACUGGAACUGAGACACGGUCCAGACUCCUAAGGGAGGCAGCAGUGGGGAAUAUUGGACAAUGGGCGCAAGCAUGAUCCAGCCAUACCGCGUGGGUGAAGAAGGCCUUCGGGUUGUAAAGCCCUUUUGUUGGGAAAGAAAAGCAGCAGGUUAAUACCCCGCUGUUCUGACGGUACCCAAAGAAUAAGCACCGGCUAACUUCGUG
rnacentral:rRNA from 1 species